UCAGGACGAAUGCUGGCGGCGUGCUAAUACAUGCAAGUCGAACGUGUACUUCGGGUACAAGUGGCGCACGGGUGAGUAACGCGUAGAUGAUCUACCCUUGAGAUUGAGAUAACCUUGGGAAACUGGGGGCUAAUACCGAACAACGCACAUCUGUUGGUUCAGAUGUGUUAAAGUGGCGCAAGUCACGCUUGAGGAUGAGUCUGCGGCCUAUCAGUUAGUUGGUGGGGUAACGGCCUACCAAGACGAAGACGGGUAGCUGAUCUGAGAGGAUGAUCAGCCACAUUGGGACUGAGACACGGCCCAAACUCCUACGGGAGGCAGCAGUAGGGAAUAUCGCGCAAUGGAGGCAACUCUGACGCAGCGACGCCGCCGUGAGUGAUGACGGCCAUUUUGGUUGUAAAGCUCUGUAGAGGGGGAAGAAUGUUACGGUGCAGAGCCGUAAGUGACGGUACCCCUAAAGUAAGGACCGGCUAAAUACGUGCCAGCCGCCGC
rnacentral:rRNA from 1 species